GCUAAAUUUCUGAUUUGGGAUUCUUUAUUGAACAGUUAGUAUUUUAUUUACUGAAUUUUUUUUCAGGUUCAUGUUUAUGCUUUUCUAAAAAAGUUGUUUGCGUAGAUUACUUUUUGUUGUUCGCCAUCUGACUAAUUGAGUCAGAAAAUAUAAUGUGGAGAUGGGAGCUGUCCGCCUUCAAUGCUUAGCGAAGCAAGAAUGCUAGGCACCGCACGCUGCAGCCAAGGAUCAUGAUACUUACCCGACAAGUACCAGGUAGUAGUACACUGGAAUUGUAUGGAACUAUCGUUUGUCCUUAACUACUAAAGCAUAUAUAGAAAUAUACAUUGGGAUGUUGUGAUUUUUUGUUAUCUUUAUGGUCUUCAUAAUAGACUUUUUUAUUUCAACUUGUAAUUAGAUAAUCGUGUGCUAUAGUUGUAGAGUAAGUAUGCUGGUCUUUUUUAAGAUCUGCACAUAUGACUUAUCCACUUGCCGCUAUUAUUUCAAAGGCUUCAAUUUGUAUUUGGAUUAUAGAUUGUUUGUAUUCGACAUUUUCCACUCAGUGUUCUCUACUUCAAGGAGGGAACGAAAGGGGUUCAGUUAUGACUGCCUUGCCAUGUGCCUUGUGUGGUCUGUGUCUGAAAUCAUAGAAGAAAAAACAGAAUCACCAAUAUUUCAGCGGUGCAGCUAAAUCAUCAGUUUUUCAUUUUCCACUGAUGGAUUCAUUAGCAUGCAUCGAUUGUUGCAGAAUUCCCAAGCUAGAGGCUAUGAUGCCAUACAAUGCAUCUAACGAACCUCACCGAUGGAUUCAUUAGCAUGCAUCGACUAUUGCAGAAUUCCCAAGCCAGAGGCUAUGAUUCCAUGAAAUUUGGCUAAAGAAGCAGGUGCAGGAUGUUUGGGAAGGCUGGUGGGGACGGGGAGCUGCCACAGCAGCUGCGGGCACUGGCUUUCAGCAGAUGUGAUACUGCAAGGCAAUGGAGGUCACUCUGAACUUAAUUUCUCAUGUUAGUUGUAGAUGUCGAUUAUCCUCAUGGACAGGUGGACAUGCUCAUCAACUUAGCUGCCGAGUCUCAAAAAAUAUAUGACUAUUCAUGUUUAGCCAAUUUCCGUGACGUAGUGCCAUGUACGCACCAGUUGUGCAUAGUGACACUAACUUCUUUUCCUUCAAUCUCAAAUACUACUAAAAUGAUAUUAUGGGUGCUACUUCAUUUUGAUUUUUCCUGAUAGAUUUUUUGUGAAAAUGCAAUGUGAUCAAAGGAGUAAAUUAUAUUUGCUUUGAUGACCUUCAAUUUCAUCAAAUGUGCUAAAACAAUUUCGUUUAGAUUUGUGAUGUCUUAUAACUUGAGUAAUAUGCAACCUGCUGUCAAAUUUGCGCCAUUGUUGAGCCUAUAAAAACCAAUCUUCAAGCAUGUAAGUUUUAAAAUAAGCCAAGGAUACCAAAAAGAAGAACUCUCUUUUGAAUGGUGCAGAAAGAUGCACAACUGAUGUUCUUCUGGAGCUUUGUGGUUGUCUUUGGCUGAUACUUUCCCAGGUUUUCAUCCAUUAUAAGGCCUAAAAUAAGCCAAUUGUUAGUCUUAAUAUUGUAGUAUUUCCUAUUGUUCAAAAAGCUCCAUUGUGUUUUAACUUCUAGACCCAGUAUGGAAGCCAUUUGACGACAGAUAUAUAAAAUCAAUGAGUAUAAAUGGUUCCCUGAUUUUACCGCUACUUUAUCAUGCGAUAAAUAAAAUCAAUGAGUAUAAAUGGUUCCUCGAUUUUACUUAGGAUGCAGUUGUUAUAUUAUUAAAUAUUGCUAAUUACUAAUUAUGUCAGGCUUGGACUCUGGCUAUGUUUGGGGUUCAAGGACUCAACCAAUAUCUCCGCAAGCUUUUAGCAGGUACUUGUACGAUGGAGGGCAUGCUUAUGCUAUGGUUCGAGAGCUCGGAUGGGGCAGGCGACAUAGGAUCAGGGGUCGAUGGCAUAGAGAUGAUUGUAACCUUGAGCUCAGUCGUGACUAGGAGGAUGGAUAGGAGGAAGACAAGCAUUCGGUGGAAGAAGAAUGUUCGAGUUGCAUGACUGUAAAUGAGAAGUUGGCAAGUUUGUAUCCUGAUGUAAGGAAGUGUGUGGAUAUUUCAGUAAUUAGAGCUGGAGAGAACCUAUCCAGAAUUCCUUACGAGGCCUUGGAUUGCAUGGGGAGGUUCUAGCAAAAAUUCAGUAAUGUCAAGAAGGUUGAUAAGCUAAAGCUGGCCUUGAGCUAGGUGAGGCAAGAAGCCUUAACAUUCAAAGGACUCCCGACAGUUUCUUGACACUGAUAGUUCAUCCAUCAGGUAUGUACCAGAGGGUCGCCAUCCCACUUUUCUUCCCCACCGCUUCCCGGGGCUUCUCCCGAGAGCCGCUAUCCGUAGCCGCCACCUUCGGCGUAGUCGCACGAUUGAACUGCUGCCACAUGGUCAAAUUCCUAUUGAAGCCCGUGCAAGCAUCCCAUCAACAAUCUAGGGGAGUCCAUCGGUGCCGUGGAAGGUAAUUGAGAUUUGGUCACGUGAGUACAUGGUAGCGGAGACAACUUUCUGGAGCAGUUCCAUCUGGGUUGGACGGUUCUUUGUUUUUCAGCUCUUGCGUGAGUUUUUUGUUCAACCGAUGUAUUCCAUAAAAAGGUGCAGAUUUACAAAUGGGACAUACCACGGAAGAGCAAGACCUAGAACUAGGAACCACACAUACACAACAAUGCUAUCUUGUUACGUUCGGUAUUAUCACGAUGUAAUAUAUUAUGAUAUGCUUGAUAUGUUUUGAAUUUUCAUAGUGAGUUGUGAAUUAUAUAUGUGCAUUGAGCAAUAAAAUUUAAUGACCAGUGGCAACG